AUGGACUUGAUAAGAACCACCCAUGGCCCCUCUACACACCCUCCUCGGGACCUUUUCGGCCCUCAACUGACCACCAAAAGUGUAGAUAAACUGCAGGCCAGAGAGGCCCAGAGAGACUCUGAGCAGACACUCGUGAGAGCGGCAGAGCAAAAAGCUCCGAUUAACCUACUCACUCAGACCUUCCCGCGAGAGUUCUCCCAGCCAGCCCGCGCCCACCUGACGCCGCCGGGGCUCUGGGAUCGCCUGACGCUGAAGCCCUACCCGCCCUUCAAACCUGCGUUCUUCUGCUCUGAGCACCACCCGUCAGGAUACCAUGAGAAUCCCCCUUCCGUGGCUGACACUUCGCGAGGAGCACCGGCGGAAGGGAAGCACAGACAUCCCUUUGGAUACAUGGAGGUGAGCUGAACUCAAGACGGCGAUCACAGCCAGGAGUUACUUUGCACUGAGGCACCCGGUGACUGGAAUUCUUCAUCUAAGUAAAUGGCAAGAACCUGAAAUAUUAAAUUUUGGCUUGUUAGCCCACAACAACUAUACCUGCCACGAAGUGACUCUCUAUCUCUCUGUCCCCCUCGCGUUCUCUCUCUCGUGUGUUUGUGUGUGUGAGCUCCAAAAGCUGUAGAAAAUGGAAUAAAUGGAAUUUAAAAGGAUAAGUUUAUUUUUGG
rnacentral:lncRNA from 1 species